rnacentral:RNase_P_RNA from 1 species
GUGAGCCGAACGACCGCGGGCAUGGCGCGAAAGCCCAUGCAUGAGGAAAGUCCGGGCUCCACAGGGCAAGGAUAACGGGUAACGCCCGCCAGGGGUGACCCUCGGACAAGUGCAACAGAAAUAGACUACCCGGCUUUUACCGGGAAAAGGUGGAAAGGUGGGGUAAGAGCCCACCCGUCGCGUGGAGACACGUGGACGCUGUAAACUCUAUCCGGAGCAACACCGUGGAAUGGGGACACACAGGUCGGCCCGGCCGUCCCCCGGAGGUGGCUUGAGCCUGUCGGCAACGGCAGGCCUAGAUAGAUGGUCGUUAAAACAGAACCCGGCUUACAGGCUCACUCAA